CCUUUGGGUGUUUUUGGUGGGGGAUGGGCUCGCGGCCUAUCAGCUUGUUGGUGGGGUGAUGGCCUACCAAGGCGGUGACGGGUAGCCGGCCUGAGAGGGUGGACGGUCACACUGGGACUGAGACACGGCCCAGACUCCUACGGGAGGCAGCAGUGGGGAAUAUUGCACAAUGGGCGCAAGCCUGAUGCAGCGACGCCGCGUGAGGGAUGGAGGCCUUCGGGUUGUGAACCUCUUUCGCCAGUGAAGCAGGCCUGCCCCUGGUGGGUGGGUUGACGGUAGCUGGAUAAGAAGCGCCGGCUAACUACGUGCCAGCAGCCGCGGUAAUACGUAGGGCGCGAGCGUUGUCCGGAAUUAUUGGGCGUAAAGAGCUCGUAGGCGGCUGGUCGCGUCUGUCGUGAAAUCCUCUGGCUUAACUGGGGGCUUGCGGUGGGUACGGGCCGGCUUGAGUGCGGUAGGGGAGACUGGAACUCCUGGUGUAGCGGUGGAAUGCGCAGAUAUCAGGAAGAACACCGGUGGCGAAGGCGGGUCUCUGGGCCGUUACUGACGCUGAGGAGCGAAAGCGUGGGGAGCGAACAGGAUUAGAU
rnacentral:rRNA from 1 species